rnacentral:rRNA from 1 species
CUGGCGGCGUGCCUAACACAUGCAAGUCGAACGAAGCACUUUACUGGAGAUUCGUCGAAGGUGAAUUUGACUUAGUGGCGGACGGGUGAGUAAUGUAUGAGCAACCUGCCUUUCAGAGGGGGACAACAGUUGGAAACGACUGCUAAUACCGCAUGAUGUAUUUAGGGGGCAUCCCCUGGAUACCAAAGGAGCAAUCCGCUGAAAGAUGGGCUCAUAUCUGAUUAGUUAGUUGGUGGGGCAACGGCCUACCAAGACUGCGAUCAGUAGCCGGACUGAGAGGUUGAACGGCCACAUUGGGACUGAGAUACGGCCCAGACUCCUACGGGAGGCAGCAGUGGGGAAUAUUGGGCAAUGGGCGAAAGCCUGAACCCCAGCAACGCCGCGUGAAGGAAGAAGGUCUUCGGAUUGUAAACUUCUUUUAUGAGGGACGAAGGACGUGACGGUACCUCAUGAAUAAGCCACGGCUAACUACGUGCCAGCAGCCGC